AACCUGCUGAAGGAUCAUGUGCACACGUGUGUACACUAACCUGCUAAUGAUAUUGUGGGCGGUGUAAGCUUGCAUUACAAUAAUAUUACAUGUGCCCUGGGCUGUGUGACUUGUUUUGCAAACAUUCGUUAUGCAUUGCAUAAACAAGUUUGGUAAACUGAGUGGUGCUGUGUUUGUGUACGAUGAUUAGGUUUUGCAACGAAUGUUUUAGUUCAAUACAUGAUGAAUAAUGCAGGACAAUGCAGUAUGCAUUGUGAAUUGCAGAAUUCCGUGAGCUAACAUAUGUUUGAAUGUUACUUGUGCCUUUGGGAUAUUCUUGAAGGUUUGCUUGAUUCAAUGCCAAUUACCUUCCAUAUGCAAUACUGCUGUUUAGCAUUGCUGUGAACAAAGAGAGUCAAUGUGUAUUGCAUUGAACCUGGAUGUGUUGCAGCUGCUUUGCAACCUAAACAUGGUUGAUUGGGGGCAAACUUGUUUCGUCAUGUGCUGGUUGCUGUUUUGUAAAAUGUGAACAACUGAGACAAGCUGAAGACUUGCAUAUGCUUAGCAUGAAGUGAAGCACAUACACCUGCUGAAUUUAAGCAUAUAAGUAAGUGGUGGAAAUUAAACCAAAUGGGAUAUCUUUAGUAAUUGCGAAUGAACAAGGAUAUGCUUAGCUUGACAAAUGGAGCUAUUGGCUUUGAAUUGUAUUGUGGAAAUGUAUUACCAACAGAGGUGCAGGUGCCAGCCUAUUGAAAUAAAGCGUCAAUGAGGGUGAGAAUCCUGUUUGUCAUGUGCAGCCCUUUGUGCACGGUGUAUAUUUGCUGAGUCACACUCCUUGGCAUUGGAAUGCAAAGUGGGUGGUAAGUUUCAUGUAAAGGUAAACAUGCAAUUGAGACUGAUAGCACACAAGUACCAUGAGGGAAAUAUGAAAAGGACUUUGAAAAGAGAAUUAAAUGAGUUUGUAUUUGCUGAACACAAAGUAAACAGACUUGAUUUGCUUGGUGGGAGUGUUGCACUUGCUUGACAAGAGCUUUGGGCUGUGGGUGUGAUGAUUCUUUCUUUGCAUGCCAGUUUCUAUGUGUACAUCUGAUUACCUUUGCACAUGAAUGAUAAGUCUCCUGUGGGGGGUGUAUUGCAUGUGCAUGUAAUGAUGUGUGUUUUGAUAAAUGUGUAUGGUGUAUGUGUUUGUGUUCAUGUGAUUGGGGAUGCUUCCUUCCUUGGACUUACAAGCCCUGACACACACAUGCUGGCAAAAUGAUUAUGCUUGACCCGUCUUGAAACACGGACCAAGGAGUCUAACAUAUGUGCAAAGUUUUGAAGGUGGUAUACCUGUGUGUGCAAUGAUAGUGUCAGCUGGGAUAUGUGCACCAGCACCCAUUUAAUGAGCGGACUGAGGUUUGAGUUGGAGCAUAUCUAUUAGGACC
rnacentral:rRNA from 1 species